ensembl:lncRNA
ACGGGGUGAAUGGAGAGAUGCUGUAGAAGUUGAGCAAGGUUUUUAGAGUCCAAGCUUCUAUUGUUUAGAUUGUAGCUAACUGUGAGUGUCGCUGACGGCGGAGAUCAACCGCUGCGGGGAUUUCGUGGACUGCAUCCUGGGAUCAUCGUGGAGACUACGGCGACCAGCUGGACAUCAGCACACAGACCUGCAACGUUUUGAGGCUGGUGGAAGCUGAAUUAGUGAGGAUGACUCCUGCUCCUGUCAUCUCUAAGCUCCUCACACAUCUUUACCUGCACAUGAGGAAAAUCACUCCUGUAGAAUGCAGAUGUUCAGAGGGAGAUGAUGCCACAUCUGGUCCAGCUGAUGGAAGGUCUUGAAGUUCUCUGACUGACCUCGACUGAAGAUGGUCGUCUCACUGGAUUUAAGGUUCAGAUGCUCAGUAACAAACUCCACCAAUGUGCCAACAGGGAAGCUUUAGGUUUAUUAAAUGUUGCUAUGAAGGUAUCGCUGUUUUUCUUUGUGAAUGCAAUGUGCUCCAACUGAAACUUGAAUUAGAACUUAGAAGUAAAUCCUUCCAUCUGAAAGGAUUUAGUUGCAUUAAUAACCUCAUAACAUUCUAAUUUUUAUUCCAGUCUUGGUUGGAAAUAGAAUCUCUGUAUUGAUUCAGGUAAAAACUGAACUUCACAGCAUGUUGGAGCAAAACAACCAGAUGAAAACUGUGAUGUGUUGGAUUGUCAGACCGUAAUGUUGCAGCUCAAAGCAGCUUUUCUAGCUCAGUUCAUUCUGACAUUCAGCUAUGAAUCAACACAGCAGAUGGUGAUCCAUGCUGUGGAAGUCUCACAUCUCCUGAUUUAAUGGAGCUGCUUUGCACUUUUUACACUGUUUAUUCACCAACACUUUAUUUAAUAAAAGUCCCAUCUAGUUUUUAUGAGGAAUGUGAUGUUUUAAUUUCUCUGUGAAUAACUGCAGUCUAAUGCAACAGCUGGAGUUGUA